rnacentral:lncRNA from 1 species
GCGAGAAGUGGAGCGAGACUUGGCAGCUCAGUGCGCGAAAACAUUUCAAAUGCGUUCAUAGUAGUGAGGGGCCAAGAAGUUUUCGCCUCGAAGAUAUCAAGUCUGUUUUGUGAGUUCCCCGCGCGUUUCCAAAGGAAACUCUAUGAGGAUAUAGGAGAUAACAUUUUCUACAAAAAUGGCGCGGGGGACUUUUAUUAUUGGACUGUUAUUCCUGUUUGGAUUAUGCGGGACUGCAGCAAUUUCCCUGAGCCUGCCACAUACACUGCUUCUCCUGUCAGCUCAGCAGAUCAUUGUUGUGAGCCAAAUUGAUCCAGACGAUGCCUCCCAAGAUUUUGGUGACUACUCCUACAGCUAUGAAGACAGGUAAGACCUUGCUUGACUCA